rnacentral:rRNA from 1 species
AGCAGCCGCGGUAAUUCCAGCUCCAAUAGCGUAUAUUAAAGUUGUUGCAGUUAAAAAGCUCGUAGUUGAAUUUCGAGAUCAAAUUGUUGGUCGUGCCUUGGUACGUACUGGCAUUAUUGGUUUCUCCCUUCUGAAGAACCAUGAUGUCAUUAAUUUGGUGUCUUGGGGAAUCAGGACUGUUACUUUGAAAAAUUAGAGUGUUUAAAGCAGGCUCACGCUUGAAUACAUUAGCAUGGAAUAACGAAAUAGGACGUUUGAUUCUAUUUUGUUGGUUUCUAGGAUCGACGUAAUGAUUAAUAGGGAUAGUUGGGGGCAUUAGUAUUCAAUUGUCAGAGGUGAAAAUUCUUGGAUUUUAUUGAAGACUAACUACUGCGAAAAGCAUUUGCCAAGGAUGUUUUCAUUAAUCAAGAACGAAAGUUAGGGGAUCGAAGACGAUCAGAUACCGUCGUA